rnacentral:rRNA from 1 species
AGGCGACGACGGGUAGCCGGCCUGAGAGGGCGACCGGCCACACUGGGACUGAGACACGGCCCAGACUCCUACGGGAGGCAGCAGUGGGGAAUAUUGCACAAUGGGCGAAAGCCUGAUGCAGCGACGCCGCGUGAGGGAUGACGGCCUUCGGGUUGUAAACCUCUUUCAGCAGGGAAGAAGCGAAAGUGACGGUACCUGCAGAAGAAGCGCCGGCUAACUACGUGCCAGCAGCCGCGGUAAUACGUAGGGCGCGAGCGUUGUCCGGAAUUAUUGGGCGUAAAGAGCUCGUAGGCGGUCUGUCGCGUCGGAUGUGAAAGCCCGGGGCUUAACCCCGGGUCUGCAUUCGAUACGGGCAGACUAGAGUGUGGUAGGGGAGAUCGGAAUUCCUGGUGUAGCGGUGAAAUGCGCAGAUAUCAGGAGGAACACCGGUGGCGAAGGCGGAUCUCUGGGCCAUUACUGACGCUGAGGAGCGAAAGCGUGGGGAGCGAACAGGAUUAGAUACCCUGGUAGUCCACGCCGUAAACGGUGGGAACUAGGUGUUGGCGACAUUCCACGUCGUCGGUGCCGCAGCUAACGCAUUAAGUUCCCCGCCUGGGGAGUACGGCCGCAAGGCUAAAACUCAAAGGAAUUGACGGGGGCCCGCACAAGCAACGGAGCAUGUGGCUUAAUUUGACGCAACGCGAAGAACCUUUCCCAGGCUUGACAUACCCCGGAAACGGCCAGAGAUGGUCGCCCCCUUGUGGUCGGUGUACAGGUGGUGCAUGGCUGUUGUCAACUUGUGUUGUGAGAUGUUGGGUUAAGUUCCGCCACGAACGCCACCCUUGUUUUGUGUUGCCAACAUGCCCUUCGGGGUGAUGGGGACUCCCAGGAGACUGCCGGGGUCAACUCGGAGGAAGGUGGGGACGACGUCCAGUCAUCAUGCCCCUUAUGUUUUGGGCUGCCCCCGUGCUACAAUGGCAGGUACAAUGAACUGCGAAACCGUGAGGCGGAACGAAUUUCAAAAAACCUGUUUCAGUUCGGAUUGGGGUUUGCAACUCGACCCCCAGAAGUCGGAGUUGCUAGUAAUCGCAGAUCAGCAUUGCUGCGGGGAAUACGUUCCCGGGCCUUGUACACCCGCCCGUCACGUCACGAAAGUCGGUAACACCCGAAG